AUUGACCUCAUCGCAGUCUGGGUAUAAACGGGGCUGGCAAGGGGCGAGGCUGCCUCAGUGCCAGGGCAGGUGGGUGAGCAGGGGGCACCAGAGGGGUCAUGGCAGCUUUCCUGCUCCUGGCACCCCUGCUGCUGCUGGGGACGGCGUCUGGCCAGGCAGACACAGGCACAGGCACAGACACAGAUGGAUGCCUGUGGCUCAGGAACACCACCGAAGGGAAUUUCUCUGUGGAAACAACACCUGAGACUUACCAGCCCAACACAACCUACCUGGUGACCAUCAAGGACGACAGGGACCACAGCAACAGCUCGGGGCCGUUCCUGCUGCAGGCCCUGUCCCCCCAGAACACCUCGGUGGGGCAGUGGGAGAAGUUAAACACGCAGACGUGCAGCUCUGUGCUCACAGCAACGCUGGACGUCUCUGAGAGAGCGGCCAACUGGACAUCCCACGCAGAGAACCACUCCUCAGUGCGGAUCAUCUGCAGAAACCACCCCGGUGCCCUCCAACACCACCUCCACCUCCAGCAGCACUCCCAACUCGGUGGGCAGGGCUCGGGGCAGCUCCUGCCUGCUGGCUGCCCUGCUGCUGCUGCUGCCCACAGCCAGCCUGCUCUCCUAGAGGGGCCCCAGCUCUGCUGCCCCUUCCCCUGCUCAGGAACACGGGGCUGAGCUGAUUUACUCAGGAAAACUCUUCCUUGCUCUGAGAAAUGUGAGAGAAAUGCACCUGCACGGGAAAUGAGAACAGUGAUCCUCCCCUGCUGCCCUCGCCCACGAGCUCAGCAAAAGGAAAUUUCCCCAGCAGAGACCCCUCUGCCCUGGCUGUGCUUUUGUGACCCAAAAAUGGGUGAGCAGAGCCCAAGGAACACGGGACAUUCAUGAAUCCAUGAUUUCCUCAUGGCCUGAAGGCAUCCUGUGAAGCACAAAACGCCUGAAGGGAGGAGAACUCUUCUUCUUUGUCGUCGUCUUCUUCUUCUUUGUCUUCUUCUCCUUCUUCGUUUUCUCCUUCUCCUUCUUCUUCUUCUCCUUCUUCUAUUUCUUCUUCAUCCUCGUCUUCUUCUUUUUCUUCUUCUUCUUCUUCUUCUUCUUCUUCUUCUUCUUCUUCUUCUUCUUCUUCUUCAUCUUCGUCUUCUUCUUCUUCAUCUUUGUCUUAUCUUUGUUCUUCUUCAUCUUCAUCUUUGUCUUCUUCUUCUUCAUCUUUUUCUUCAUCUUCGUCUUCUUCAUCUUCAUCGUCUUCUCCUUCUUCAUCUUCUUCUUUGUCUUCUUCUCCUCCUUCUUCUUCUCCAUCUUCUCCUUCUUCUUGUUCUUUGUCUUCCUCCUCUUCCUCCUCUUCCUCCUCUUCCUCCUCCUCUUCCAAGAAGCUCCAGGAGGGCUCUGCCUUUGCCUCCUCUUCCUCCUCUUCCUCCUCUUUCCGUCCAUCCCCUCCUGGCACAGCCCUGGCUGUCGGGGAGCGGAGCUGAGCCUGGGGAGGGAAAUCCAGCCCGAAACCCCCAAACCCCCAGGCUGAGCCCAGCACCGGCUGCAGAGCCCCCACACCCAGCCCAGGAAUUUCUGCUCCAAAACCUGAAUUUCAUUCUUCCAGCAGAUGAUUCUCUUUGUUCUCCCUCUGGUUUUCCCCCUGGAAAGGCAAGGUGGGCAUUUUGUGUUCCUCUUUUAUUUUUUUAAUCAACAGCUGAUUUUACUGCAAGGCAAGAUUAUUGUGUGGGCCAAUGGAUGUCUUGAUUUUAUUGUUGUUUGUAUUUUUAUAUGGGAAAAGCGUGUAUUUAGAAAUUUUUCAAAUUGUGGAAAGCAAUUUUUUUUUCAUUAAACAAAUCUAAAUAAAAUAAGGAAUCAAAAUUGGUUCUUGCA
rnacentral:lncRNA from 1 species